rnacentral:tRNA from 1 species
GCAUCGUUGGUUCAGUGGUAGAAUGCUCGCCUGCCACGCGGGCGGGCCGGCUUCGAUUCCCGGCCGAUGCA